UGGGGAAUAUUGCACAAUGGGCGCAAGCCUGAUGCAGCAACGCCGCGUGAACGAUGAAGGUCUUCGGAUCGUAAAGUUCUGUUGCAGGGGAAGAUAAUGACGGUACCCUGUGAGGAAGCCCCGGCUAACUACGUGCCAGCAGCCGCGGUAAUACGUAGGGGGCUAGCGUUAUCCGGAUUUACUGGGCGUAAAGGGUGCGUAGGUGGUCUUUCAAGUCGGUGGUUAAAGGCUACGGCUCAACCGUAGUUAGCCUCCGAAACUGGAAGACUUGAGUGCAGGAGAGGAAAGUGGAAUUCCCAGUGUAGCGGUGAAAUGCGUAGAUAUUGGGAGGAACACCAGUAGCGAAGGCGGCUUUCUGGCCAUAAUCUGACGCUGAGGUACGAAAGCGUGGGUAGCAAACAGG
rnacentral:rRNA from 1 species